GACGAACGCUGGCGGCGUGCCUAACACAUGCAAGUCGAACGGAAAGGCCCUGCUUUUGUGGGGUGCUCGAGUGGCGAACGGGUGAGUAACACGCGAGUAACCUGCCCUUGACUUUGGGAUAACUCCAGGAAACUGGGGCUAAUACCGGAUAGGAGCUCCUGCUGCAUGGUGGGGGUCGGAAAGUUUCGGCGGUUGGGGAUGGACUCGCGGCUUAUCAGCUUGUUGGUGGGGUAGUGGCUUACCAAGGCUUUGACGGGUAGCCGGCCUGAGAGGGUGACCGGCCACAAUGGUACUGAGAUACGGCCCAGACUCCUACGGGAGGCAGCAGUGGGGAAUAUUGCACAAUGGGCGGAAGCCUGAUGCAGCAACGCCGCGUGCGGGAUGACGUCCUUCGGGGUGUAAACCGCUGUCGCCUGUGACAAAGCGGGAGUGACGGUAAUGGGUAAAGAAGCACCGGCUAACUACGUG
rnacentral:rRNA from 1 species